rnacentral:rRNA from 1 species
GUACACGCUGUGACUAGCAUAUCAAUAAGCGGAGGAAAAGAAACUAACAAGGAUUCCCCUAGUAACGGCGAGUGAAGCGGGAAGAGCUCAAAUUUGAAAUCUUAAAGGGUUUCCCUUUACGAAUUGUAGUUUAAAGAAGUGUUUUCUGUUGAGGUUUUGGUAAAAGUUCUUUGGAAUAGGACAUCAUAGAGGGUGAGAAUCCCGUAUUUGACCUUUACUUUCAACUUUGUGAUACACUUUCAAAGAGUCGGAUUGUUUGGGAAUGCAGUCCAAAAUGGGUGGUAAAUUUCAUCUAAAGCUAAAUAUUGGCGAGAGACCGAUAGCGAACAAGUACCGUGAGGGAAAGAUGAAAAGAACUUUGGAAAGAGAGUUAAACAGUACGUGAAAUUGUCAAAAGGGAAGCGUUUGACACCAGUGUUGUUUUUCUGAAAAUCAAUUAAAGAACUGUUUAUGCUAAGCUGUUUAGACUUUAUCAGCUAUCUGUUUAGUUUUGAGCUUUUCUUUAAUGCACUUUUCAGUUAACAAGUCAACAUCAAUUUCUUUUGCUGUAAAAAAGCUUGAGGAAGGUGGCUUGAGAUUCGUCUUAAGUGUUUAUAGCCUCUUGCCUAUGCAGUCGGAGAGAUUGAGGUCUGCAGCGUAGAUCCUUCGGGGCUAAAUGCAUUUGUGCUAAGUUAUAGCAUUUUAUAGACAACUUGUUGACUAUGAUUUGUCUUGUAGCUUACUCGCUUAUGUUAUUUUACCUACGCUUAGGAUGUUGACGAGACUGUCGAUCUC